ACUGGGAAAAACUCGUUUUUCAGCGUCACUUAUAGACCGGAAGUUGACGAAUCAACGUUCCGAACGUUAAUACUGCCUUCGAUUGUCUGUAACUUUUAUUGUUAUGAAUUUUUACGUCCACCUGUUUUUUUCUAUCGUUCUAAUAGAUUUCAGUAUUCCUUUUUUAUUCUGUUAAUGAAAAAAUACACUAGAUGUUAUUAGUAAAAGCAUAAAAAAAAUUUUUAAUAAUAUUUUUUGUCAAUUUUUCUCAAACGUUAAAUAAAUCUUUGUGAUAUCCUGACCUACUACUGAUUCGGAAAUCGAUGUCGGGAAUUGAAAAGACCUAAAUACGAUGCAAUAUCGCGUUAAGUCACAGAAUAACUCUCGAAUUUUUAGUACACAGAAAAAAAGCAGUUAUCGAUGAACGGAGCAACGUCCUAAAUAGUAUGGCGCAUGGUUCUUAUUUUCUUAACAGUCUAUUUCUAUAUACAUUCUUCGGCACGCCCAGAUUUCUUUCCGCAUCCCAGAACUGUUCAAACAGAUGAAUUGCGUUCUCGCCUUUUUUCGAGUGAAACUCUGAAAUAUUUAACAUCGUUAAACAACUCUGAAUGUCAUAAGAGUAUCGGCUUGGACAAGCGAAGAAUCAGUCACCUUUUUUCUGCUGAUGGCGUCGGCGGUUCGUCUCUCACGACAAGUUGAAUUACUUAUUACGUGCUUUCGAUAAGAUUCAUUUAGAAUGUUCGAAAAUCGAGGAAAAUUUAGAUUUCAUAACAGUGCAAAAUGGUGUAUUGUUAUUUUUUUGAAAUGCAUAGCAUAUUUACAAUGCGGAGAAACAAAAAAUUCAUCGAUUGUUGAAAAUUCUGAAGGUUGCGGGGGUGAAUUCUCCGGAUAUCAAUACACCAUCAGCAGUCCCAAUUAUCCUAAAUCAUAUGCAGAACAACAAAACUGUAUUUUUAUUCUGCGUGGAAGCCAUUUAGCCACGUGCGAUCAAGUAUUCAAUUUAAAAUUUCUGGAUUUUUCGUUGCCACCGUCAGAAAAUUGCGCAGAUGAUUACGUUGAAAUCGGUGAUCGCAGUUUAUUUUGCGGAAGAGUUAUCGGUAUUCGUGAAUAUCCUAGCAAAAAUAACAAGCUGAUUCUACGGUUUCGUAGUGGCACUCGUAGUAGACUCGGAGAUAAACGAUUCAAAAUUUUAAUCACAACGGUACCGUGUUUCUUGCAGCAAAUGAAUGGAAAAAAUACAGCAAAUAUGGUGGAACAAGAUGGGACCACGUUGGGGAACCAAACGGCUGACAAAUAUUUCACUCACGAAAAUACUGGGUCGCAUAUUAAUUUACCGAUCGAGAGGAACAGACAAUUCGUAAGGAAUGAAGUGCCAUCUCCACCAAAAGUAAAAGGUUUAGAUGAAAAAGAAGAAAACGAUUUAUUGACUGUCACUCAGCAUAUAGAGGUUAACGAAGCACCGAGUAACUAUCUACAAGUUCCAGUUGGUGGAAUUAAAUUAUUUAGAGAUCCGACACUUACAAAAACGGAGACCGUGAUACCGAAUACAGUCCAGUCAAACGAACAGAAACCUUCAAAAAUUUCGGCUUACUUAUUUGUAGAACCGAAUCCUGAGAAUUAUUUCAAGGAUCGGACUCAGUCAAGUAUUUCCUCGGUUACCUUUUCGACAGACUCUCCAAAGGCAUCGCUCCUCAGCAUACCACAGACCGAAAUUCAUCCGCCAAACCGAGAGAAUGUACAAUUUCGAGAUACCAGGUUUUCAAAUUCUACGAGAAAGUUACUUCUCCGUCAAGAACACCAAGGAAAUAAUGAGAAGUUUUUGAUUUCAACGAAAACUUAUGAUAUACCAGAUGUACCAUCCUAUCCUUCAUUUCAAAAUUCAGUACCAGGUAUCAAAACUGGUGAAGUUCUAGACAAUCCAAGUAGUUUCAUUAACUAUCCGACAAAUACUAAUCUGAAGUCAGAACUCGAAGUAACUAAGACGCUUCACGGGAAAAACCGCGAACCAAUCAAUAAUCUACAAAGUAACCAAGGAUUCAGCAGGCUGUUCUACCCGACCAUGUCUUACCAGUUUCCAUCUUCACAUCAUGCUUCAUAUGUAUCUCCGUAUGUGCUAAACGGUAAUCAUGCUACGACUGCAGGUAUAACAUAUGGGCUACCGACGGCUUCUUAUACAACCAAUGUACCCGGGGUGAGUGAAUUCGAAAACUGCAAGAAUUCACUGCCUAGAUUCGAUGUUCUACCAUCGAAUAGUUUCAAAGGGUAUCAAAAUUUUAUCCCCAAUGUCGACGAUUCAGUCAACUAUUACCCAGUUAUUCCUAAUUCAAGGAACAUCGGAAACCUACCGUUAUGUUGCAAUACUUACUAUUUGCAGCAAAGGUUCCUGCUCGCAAGUCCUGAUUUUCCAUCAUCCUCAUAUUCUGAAAAUACGUUUGAGUGUGCUUUUUCGAUAAUACCAUACUCAACUAAUACUUGCUAUAUGCGCUUCAAUUUAAAGUUUUUUAAUCAUGGAGUCGAUGAUUCUUCCUGUUCAAACGGUCAUAUAGAGAUUGAUGGACGUCGCAUUUGUGGUUGUAAAAAGGGCCUGAGUAUUCAAUCGAUAGUCACGACGGCAUUUCCUAAACUUGUUGGUGUUAGAUACACGGGCUAUCCACGAACCAAGUUCAACGGGUUUUUAAUAGAAGUAAUUCAAGAACCUUGUGCCAACAGCUACGGUUACCAAUCGAGGAGCAAGAAAGAUACCGGAAACUUAUCCAUCGAAAAUGACAGAUCUACGAAAAUAAAUAUUGGAAUUGGAAAUACCACGGUCAAGAGAACGAAGAGGAAUUUGGGUUACAGUUACCCAAAACCAAGCUUUGGCUUUGUUGAAGGAUCCGUAUUAGGACAGCCUUACAUUUUUGGGAAUUCACCAAAUUUUCACUCAUGGGCCCACGAAGACUUUGUCAGUAAUGUCUUAUCGCCUUUAUUUUCAUGUCAGGUCUUCAGUUUUCUCGAUUGGAUUAUCGCUGCGAAGGAGACAUAUUUCAAGAAUAGCAGGUGCGUCAAAACCAACACUGCAUCAGGGAAUAAUUUUCCACACACGUAUGUUGUGGAUAAUUCCGGUUUCGGCGAGACGGCCUAUCCAUAUUCUACAAAGCUCCUGGUUUUUGUCAACUGGAGUUAGUUGUUCUCGAUUUUUACCUGGAAAAGAGUAUCGGAUGUACAAAGGAUUAUAUGAUAUUCACCGGGAACAACAGCCGUUAUUGUGGCAAUUCGCUAGCAGGCAGGAAAAUAAUGUUCGACAUUUCCCGAGGUGGAAUUAUCAAUGUGUGUUUUGUGACUGACACCUUUGGAACUGAACGUGGUUUUAGUGCAGGUUUUUCGCAGAUUCCUUGUCGAGGAUUGGUUAAUCGUUAAUCAAAAGGUUG
rnacentral:misc_RNA from 1 species